AUCCAGCUAACGAGUCCCAUACAGGACGAAACGCGCGUCAUGGAU
rnacentral:hammerhead_ribozyme from 1 species